GUACUUGUUUGGUAGUACAUAUAUUAAAUUUGCAAUGACUCAGAAAAUUAGCUUGGCCCUGCAAAGGAUGACACACAAAUUCAUGAAACACUCUUAAUAUAU